rnacentral:rRNA from 1 species
GAGAGAUGUGUGAUGACGCAUAUCAAUAAGCGGAGGAAAAGUAACUAACAAGGAUUCCCUUAGUAACGGCGAGUGAAGCGGGAAGAGCUCAAAUUUGAAAUCUUCAAGGUUCUACCUUGACGAAUUGUAGUUUAUAGAAGUGUUUUCUGUUAGUGGAGUGGCAAAAGUUCUUUGGAAUAGGACAUCAUAGAGGGUGAGAAUCCCGUAUUUGGUCAUUCCUCCUAGCGUUGUGAUACACUUUCAACGAGUCGGAUUGUUUGGGAAUGCAGUCCAAAAUGGGUGGUAAAUUUCAUCUAAAGCUAAAUAUUGGCGAGAGACCGAUAGCGAACAAGUACCGUGAGGGAAAGAUGAAAAGAACUUUGAAAAGAGAGUUAAACAGUACGUGAAAUUGUCAAAAGGGAAGCGUUUGACACCAGUGUUGUUUUUCCGAAAAUCAAUUACGAAUGUUUUGUUUUUAAGAAGUUAUGACUUCAUCGGCUUGCUUCUUUCUUUACGAAACUUUCUUAAUGCACUUUUCGGUUAACAAGUCAACAUCAAUUUCUUUUGUUGUAAAAGGGUAUGAGGAAGGUGGCUUUCUUUUCGGAGAAAGUGUUUAUAACCUUGUACCUCUGCAAUCGGAGAGAUUGAGGUCUGCAGCGUAGAUCCUUCGGGGUUAGAUACAUUUGUGCUAAGCUAUAGCCUUGUAUAGACAACUUGUUGACUAUGUUUAGUCUUGUAGCUUACUCGCUUAUGCUAUUUUACCUACGCUUAGGAUGUUGAGUCGUAGAGCACGCAG